rnacentral:tRNA from 2 species
GCGGAUGUACCCAAGUGGAUCAAGGCAGU